UGGUGGGCCAGGACAUGUGCUGGGUUCAGCAGACGGUGAGCCAGUCCUUGCAAGCAGAGGGGAGAGACAGCUAUGAAUCGAUAGUUAUGCAAACAGAGGAAGCUGCCUGUGCUGUUAUUGAGAAGAACGAUGGCUGCAGCUGGUGGCAAAGCUGUCUGUUUAUAGUCAACUUAAUGUCAAGAGCUGGUACAGAAGUUCACAACAGCAGAGAACUCUAUCGUUUGAAAAUUUUGAGGAGGAAGUUACUGCGAUCAAGUGGGAAGCCUCAGAUCAGUCUCUUAAAGCACAGGUGUUCAAAGUGACUUUACGUUCAGAUCAUUCUGGAAGAAAUCAUUUUAAAAGCCUGUCACUGCACACUGCAAACGGCCGCAAGGACACCCUGGUGUGUUUCGCCAUUAUUAAAACAGCUACCAAAAAUAAAUACAUGAAACAAAGAGGGAGCCCUUGCAGGGCCUCAGUAACGCAAUGAUCAGGAAAUCGUUUCUGCUCUGGUAGAUUAGAAUCAAGGAAUGCAGCCAUUUUCAUCAUCAGUAUAACUCUGUAACUGAUUUCAGCGAUGGCCCCACAAGGAUGGUGCCUGCUCUUUUGUUACCCACCGUUGAUAAAUGUGCAUCAAUUUUUCACUUUGAAGUGUUAUUUCCUCUUGCAAUUUGCCAAGUGCCUUUUCAUGCCGCAUUUGAAGACUGUCCCAUGAACAAAGCUCCUUCAGGGAAGACAAGUUAAUUAUCUGACUGCCAUUCUGAUUGUUGGCUGCUGGAAAGAAAAUUCUUUGCCAGCUCCAGUGGUGAGGCACCAAUGCUGCUCUUUGACAAUGGUCAAAUUCCUACAGGAUCCGUCACUGGGUGAGUAGGAGAG
ensembl:lncRNA